GGUAUCUAGUUUGAAAAAUGUGUCCGAUGACCCGGCCAUCCAACCGAGAUGGCCGCCACGGCUAAAAAUAGAACAUAGGGGUAAAAUGCAGUUUUUGGCUUAUAACUCAAAAACCAAAGCAUUUAGAGCAAAUCUGACAGGGGUUAAAUUGUUUAUCAGGUCAAGAUCUAUCUGCCCUGAAAUCUUCAGAUUGAUCGGACAACCCGUUGUUAGGUUGCUGCCCCUGAAUUGGUAAUUUUAAGGAAAUUUUGCCGUUUUUUUGUUAUUAUUUUGAAUAUUAUUAUAGAUAGAGAUAAACUGUAAACAGCAAUAAUGUACAGCAAAGUAAGACCUUAAAAUAAGUCAACAUGACCAAUAUGGUCAAUUGACCCCCUAAGGAGUUAUUGUCCUUUAUAGUCAAUUUUUAACAAUUUUCAUAAAAUUUGUAAAUUUGUAAAUUUUACUAACAUUUUCCACUGAAACUACUGGGCCAAGUUCAUUAUAGAUAGAGAUAAUUGUAAGCAGCAAGAAUGUUCAGUAAAGUAAGAUGUACAAACACAUCACCAUCACCAAAACACAAUUUUUUCAUGAAUCCAUCUGCGUCCUUUGUUUAAUAUUCACAUAGACCAAGGUGAGCGACACAGGCUCUUAAGAGCCUCUAGUUU
rnacentral:lncRNA from 1 species